CCUACGGGGCUGCAGUGGGGAAUAUUGGACAAUGGGCGAAAGCCUGAUCCAGCCAUGCCGCGUGUGUGAAGAAGGCCUUCGGGUUGUAAGGCACUUUCAGUGGGGAAGAAAGCCUUGGGGCUAAUACCCUCGAGGAAGGACAUCACCCACAGAAGAAGCACCGGCUAACUCCGUGCCAGCAGCCGCGGUAAUACGGAGGGUGCGAGCGUUAAUCGGAAUUACUGGGCGUAAAGCGCGCGUAGGCGGUCUGAUAAGCCGGUUGUGAAAGCCCCGGGCUCAACCUGGGAACGGCAUCCGGAACUGUCAGGCUAGAGUGCAGGAGAGGAAGGUAGAAUUCCCGGUGUAGCGGUGAAAUGCGUAGAGAUCGGGAGGAAUACCAGUGGCGAAGGCGGCCUUCUGGACUGACACUGACGCUGAGGUGCGAAAGCGUGGGUAGCAAACAGGAUUAGAUACCCGGGUAGUC
rnacentral:rRNA from 1 species